AUGAGAACAUGUGCUUCUGGGGAUAGCAAUUGUCUUCUAAGGACAUGGAUUUGACAUGAUGAGGGCAUUCUGAGUGUACUCAAGGAAAAAGAAGGUAGCUUGGGGACAUGCUUGGCCCUGAGGUCUUACAUGGGAAAGUCUGAACAUCUUAGAGGAGAGAGUCUUAUGCAGAAAGUACCAUUUUACCUCUGCUAGUCUGCGCAGAGGAUACGAAGGAACAGGCGCCAACUGGCUACAGACUGAAUCCUCCACGACUGUGAACCAAGGACAUUAGUCAGAUACUAAUCCAAGCACUCGCAUCCUGCGGGAAGAUGGGAGAUCAGGAGAUGCUACCAGAAGAAGUGAGGAGUCUUCUGGAAGACGAUGGUUUCACCUGCAACAAGUGUAGAGGUGAAUGGGGGCGGCGGCGGCGGCGGCGGCGGCGGCGGCGGCGGCAGAGCAUGGCAGGCAAAGGGUAUGUGCCAGCCAAUUCCGUGCUGGCAGGAUCUCACUUAGGCGCCCAGGAUUCUUGAGAGCACAGAGAGGCCUUGGUCGAUGUUUUGAAGGAUGAAACCGGAAGAGAAGGAUGACUCAUUCAAAGCCUGCCUCUUGGAAGAGUUAACUCUGGAAGCAGACACUCUUCCUCCGGGGGCGAGGGUGAUAGGAGGAAGAUGGAGGAAGACGUGCUAGGAGGUGAGAUUGACGCUAGCUGUGCCGGAUGUUGAAGGGAGU